rnacentral:tRNA from 1 species
AGCCUUGUGGUGGAGUACACAUCGGAUUGCAAAUCUGAAGACGCAGACUAGAUCUCUGCCGGGGCUU